GUGGGUGUGGUCUGUGGAAAGUGCAAAUAAGGAUUUAUAAUUUUGAGAAGAGACUAUGAAGUGAGACAGCUUGUGGAGACUGGAGGCAAGUGCAAAGAUGGCUGAUUAAAGAGCCUCAGCAUGAACAGCUGAACAGGGGCUCAAAGAAUGGCAUGAAGACCACAUUACUACUGAAUUGGACAUAUACAUGAUCCAGUAGUCUAUUAUUAUUCUACACUAGGUCAUAUACACGUAGGAUGCAAGACCUCUAGAAGUUACAAAUGCAAGGCUAGAACUAUAUCAGUUCAAAGUGUAGUACUGUGGCAAACCAAACUGAAACCAUGCAUCUAUUAAAGUAAUGCCCCCUUCUCUCAGCCCAUCAGGCAAGGAUGGAGGAAUACAUGGGGCAUUAUUUUUAUUGUACACUAUACAUAUAUAGACAGCAAAUACUUGUAGAUCAUAGGGAAGUUUGAUAACUAUUGUUCUUAUGUGAUUUGUUGUUGUAUCAUAGGCAUGAAAUUCUUAAUUGCUACAUACUCCAGAAAAGUAGCAACUGGCACUGGCUCAUGCAUGCAUAUAAGGAUCUGGUCUAUAUGAGAGUAACAAAUUUCCAAGUAAAAUAGUGAUUUGGUGGAAAUUCCUGGAACUAGUGUUUGCAUGGUUGACGAGGAUUGUAGGAUUGGCUGUUAUGAUAAUAGUGAUGAUAGAAAUGCUCUUGCUAUAUGACCAAAUAAGGACAAUUCUGAUUCAGAGGAAAACAGGUGCAGUUGUUUUGAUAAUUUUGGGUUAUAAGGUGACUCCCAUAUUAACUGAUUGUGAUAGGUCAAAUGAUAAAAUUGUUGUGGUUGUGUAUUAGAAUGAACAGAUGGUGCACACUAUUCUUACAUCAAAACUUAAUAACAAAGAACUAUUCUGACAGCAAGCGUGAGACAAUCAUUGCAUGAAUAGCAAGUAUAACUCUGGUCUUGUAUAACUCACAUAACUUUAGUUCACUUCUUGAAGUCAACAGAUAAUAUCAUAACACUAAUAUUGGUGACAAGCUGAAGAGUAAAGACACUUAUAAUUUUUUGUACACUCCCAGGACCGAGUGCAGUCAGUGUUGAACAGGUAUGAGUGUAUUGUUAUUAUAUCUCGAGUACAAAAUUAGAAGCAGGCAUUAAGAAAUUUCUGGCAAGUGGACAAUCAGAACAGCUAAACUGAACACUAUUAACAGUAAUGAUAAAACUUCUGAAAGAAAACUUUCAUAUGAUUUUGUAUGACCACUCAAAACAGCAAUUAAUUGGUCAUCCUGUCUGAAUUAUUAUUUUGAUAAUAUUAUUUAUUACAAUGCACAGCACUAUUUAUCAGUUACA